AAUUUCUGAACUAUUUCUUUGUUCUUUCCAAUUUCAUCCUUUUCUAGAUCAAUAUCUUGUAUUUUCUGGACAAGUGCUGAUCUCUCUAGUUUGAUUGCUUCUCUCAUGUCUUCCAUUUGCUUUCUUUCUGUCAUGAUGUCAGACCUCAUCUUUUGCAGGUCUUUUCUUUCCUGUUUAAUCAUCAUCUUAUCUUCGUCCAUUUCAGUUUUCUCUCGUUCCAGUUCCCUUAUUAUCUGAUCGAGUUGUUCUCUCUCUAUCUUUGCUUUUACUCUCAUUUCUUCCAUUUGCUUUCUUUCUGUCAUGAUGUCAGACCUCAUCUUUUGCAGGUCUUUUCUUUCCUGUUUAAUCAUCAUCUUAUCUUCGUCCAUUUCAGUUUUCUCUCGUUCCAGUUCCCUUAUUAUCUGAUCGAGUUGUUCUCUCUCUAUCUUUGCUUUUACUCUCAUUUCUUCUUCUUUCUCUUUUUCUUUCAUAAUAUGUUCUUGCAGUGUGUUCAACUCUUGUAUUUUUAG
ensembl:lncRNA